UCAGUGUGAAUAAAUACUUGCAGUGCGUAGAGAAAGCACUUCCAGCAGAAGGCCCAAAUCACGUACAGAGAGCAGAGUAAAGUUGGUAGGGGUGGGGACCGUCACCGUGGCAACCACAGUGGCAACCGUGGCUGACCGUGUUCGGUGGGGUCCGCCGUGCGCAGCAUCCGCAGUCUCUAGUCGGUCUCGUGGUCUCGUGUUCUUGGUGUGCUCGUGGCCGUGGUAUCGGUUUCACUGAAGCAUGGUCUCAUGAUUUGUUUGAGCGCGUCAAAACUUUCAAGUGUGCAUGCUUUUGAUCCAUGUCCAAUGUUCUGGGGACCGACCAAACUGUGAGCUACUGUAAACACAGACGACAGCGGGUCGCCAGACCAAAGUUAGCCAUCCUAACUGAAGCGGCCUUUGCCUAUGCGGAUGGGGUUGCCGGACCAAAGUUAGCCAUCCUAACUGAAGCGGCCCUUGCCUAUACAGCUGAUAGAUGACCCUCCAGUGGAAUCGUUUCUUUGGCUGCCUUUGCCAUCAGGCACACUGCAGCGCUUGUUCGUGGCCACUGCACAGAAACCAAGCGUUUGUUCGUGGGAACCCCGCCAAGUUUAUCAUCAUCCACCUUGCCCGCUGGUCUGUGCCACAGGUUGGGGCCAAUAAAAAUGUUUUAUACUUUA